rnacentral:rRNA from 1 species
CAAUAGCGUAUAUUAAAGUUGUUGCAGUUAAAAAGCUCGUAGUUGGAUUUCUGAUCGAGACAUCAGGUCGGGUCCGAGAGGAUCAUGUACUUUGAUUUUGUUUUGAUCAUCCUUGGGGAGAGCAUUUCUGGCAUUCAGUUGUCGGGAUUGGGAUCCUCAUCGUUUACUGUGAAGAAAUUAGAGUGUUCAAAGCAGGCCUCGGCCUCUGAAUACAUUAGCAUGGAAUAAUAAGAUAGGACUUUGGUGGUCUAUUUUGUUGGUUUGCACGCCAAAGUAAUGAUUAAUAGGGAUAGUUGGGGGUAUUCGUAUUCAAUUGUCAGAGGUGAAAUUCUUGGAUUUAUGGAAGACGAACUACUGCGAAAGCAUUUACCAAGGAUGUUUUCAUUAA